rnacentral:rRNA from 1 species
GACGUAGGGCGCGAGCGUUGUCCGGAUUUAUUGGGCGUAAAGAGCUCGUAGGCGGCUUGUCGCGUCGAAUGUGAAAUCUCAGGGCUCAACUCUGACAUUGCAUUCGAUACGGGCAGGCUAGAGUUCGGUAGGGGAGACUGGAAUCCUGGUGUAGCGGUGAAAUGCGCAGAUAUCAGGAGGAACACCGGUGGCGAAGGCGGGUCUCGUGGGCCGAUACGUGACGCUGAGGAGCGAAAGCGUGGGGAGCGAACAGG